ensembl:lncRNA LINC02754 long intergenic non-protein coding RNA 2754
GGGGCUACUUCUUCCUGCCACGGUCAUGAUUGAGAGGCAACGGGUGGCGAGUCUACAGGGGACGUCGUCGAGCAGACAUGGGAUAACUUUAAGGGAGAAGACAGACAAGGGGAGGGGCUCCUGUGAUGGGAUCAGUCAGAUGCCUGCCUGGCCGCUCCCCCUGAGGGGACUUGGGCUCCUCUUAACAUUGGCAGGCUGGUAUAAACUUCCGGCUCAGAUCAAGCUAUGCCUGAUGCUGCCUUAAGCCUUAUGAGGUCGCCACGGAACCGCAGGAGAUCAUGCUGCUGUGAUGCCGGGUUUUCUUAACAGCAUAAGGAAGACUUGCCCCUUGCCCUAUCAAAGAGAAUAGUUUUGGAGGGCCGAAGUGGGACCAAAAAAGAUGCAGUUUUCAUUUCUAUUGGGAAAUGUGAAAAAAAAAUUGUCAACUCUUUUAGUUAAAAACAACAACAACAAAAAAGGAAACGAGAUGUGGGGCCGCCGCACGCAAUAUCGUGCAUUAAAAGGAUGUUCUACUCUGGAGGAAAAUAUCUUUGCUGAUGCCAGACCAACCUAACACAAAGAACUUUUGGUUUUUUAAUGUGACUGUGUUUUAUUUUACACUGUGUAAUUCACU